rfam:Chelonia mydas contig253209, whole genome shotgun sequence.
GCAUGGCUAGCUCAGUUGGUAGAGCAUCAGACUUUUAAUCUGAGGGUCCAGGGUUCAAGUCUCUGGUCAGGCA